rnacentral:lncRNA from 1 species
CAGAGUCACGUGGAGCCGACCUAGGCUUUGCGCGCUGACGUGAGAUCUGCGACAGCGUCCUGCGCAGGCGCCGCCCCGGACCCCCGAAGGAGUGCUGUUGGGAUUGGUUUUGAAGUUUGAAGACAAAACAACAUAGCAUAAGACAUAUGCUGAGCCUAAGAAAGACAAGGUGAGCCCACGUAUACGGUUGGGAAAGGUCAAUAUAAACAAAAAACGGUGCGAGAUGGAUUUUUAAGGAGAACCCAAACUGAUGAGCAGAGGAAGAUUACUGGGGUCUAGAGCGUCUUGAACUACACUAUGAAGGAUAUAGGGUUUUUAAAAAGAGAUUAUGAGUUCACUGUGCGGUUUGUCGCGCCCGUAGUUGUACCAGUCACUGGGGUGCAUUGCUUUGUCACAGUAACCCCACGUCACUCUCAUUUACAAGUAAGAAAUAGCAAGAUGAAGUUCCCCAAGGUCACUCACCUACAGCGCAAAUUCAAACUCAGAAGCUACACUGUUAUCCACUACUACGCUGACAAGAAGGGAAACAUAGGCUAGACCGUGGGGCUAAAGUGCCUUCCAUACACUACUGUUAACCAUCAACAACAUUUGAAGCUGGAAUCAUUAGAUCUAUAUUGUAACAUAAGACUCAAAAAAAAAAAAAAAAAAGGUCUGCUUUACAGGCCAGUGGCCUGGAACAGCUUUGAAACUCAGUCUGGCUUCCCUACCUGAAACUCUGCUCAAUCUAAUCAGACUUAAGGCAGAGAAGUGAUUAAUGAAGGCUUUCCUAUAGACCCGGUGCCAAGACAGGAACCGUCCCACCCAAACAGGAAAAGAUAAAAAGGCCACAGCUUCUGUCCUGCCUCCUGGCUGAGGUGCUAAGAAACACACUGAGUCACCUAAUGGCUGGCCAGGCCCUUCAGAAAACAGUGACAUCAUCUCCCAGGCUGCUGCCCCUCCCAUUUGCUCUGCCCCUAGGACUGGCAUCAUCCCCUUCUUAAUGAAUGGGCUUAGCUUGGCAGAGCCCUCAGAAGCCAAAGGCCCUGCUCUGAUCUUCGUUGGCCCAGAGGCUGGAAUAGUACCCUAGAGUCAGCAAACUGCCCGACCUCCUUCCAUUACACCAAAUCCAUGGGAAAUAAAUCAGUAAAGAAGAUGACAGUCUCAAAAGGAAGCACAAGUUAUAAAACUAGCAUUGUAAGAGAAGAAAAGGUGAGAGCUGCUGUACCCUUCAAACUUUGUAAAGCAUUCCAGGGCACUUCCCAUAGGUUCCAG